rnacentral:rRNA from 1 species
UCCUACGGGGGGCAGCAGUGGGGGAUAUUGGUCAAUGGGGGAAACCCUGAACCAGCAACGCCGCGUGAGGGAAGACGGUUUUCGGAUUGUAAACCUCUGUCCUCUGUGAAGAUGAUGACGGUAGCAGAGGAGGAAGCUCCGGCUAACUACGUGCCAGCAGCCGCGGUAAUACGUAGGGGGCAAGCGUUAUCCGGAAUUACUGGGUGUAAAGGGAGCGUAGACGGUUAAGUAAGUCUGGAGUGAAAGGCCGGGGCCCAACCCCGGGACUGCUCUGGAAACUAUUGAACUUGAGUGCAGGAGAGGUA